rnacentral:lncRNA from 1 species
GAUCUCACACAAUUCUGACGUUUUUUCCCGUUUCUCCAAACAUAAGAUUUAGAAGUUGCUCCAAACAUAAGAUUUAGAAGUUGCUCCAAACAUACAUUUCUAAGUAUUUUUGACACCCUGGGAUGACUCCUGCUCAACAUCGUUCUGUUUCUUCAAAUUUUACAUUUCGAAGUUGUCAAAAUUCAAAGUUAAGGGUUAAAGUGAACUUGGUAUUCGUCAUGUCCAACACCACCACGUUUCCAUGGUUCUGUAGUCAAAUAGAUAUAGAGGAAGAUAAGCAUUUCUAAUGACAUCAUCAGUUUGCAUCAUUUGAUUUUAACCAAUUAUGAGUAGGCAUUGCACAUACAGUAUGUUGAUGUUGGGGUGGUGCUGGAGAUAAUGAAUAUGACAUUUAAAAUUGUGGAAUAUCCCUUUAAGGUUAGGGUUAAAAUAUGAAGUUUAGACAUUCAUUCCGAAUGGUUAAGGUUUGGGUUAAGGUAAGGGUUAAGGUAAGGGUUAAGGUAAGGGUUAAGGUAAGGGUUAAGGUAAGGGUUAAGGUAAGGGUUAAGGUAAGGGUUAAGGUAAGGGUUAAGGUAAUGGUUAAGGUUUGGGUUAAGAUAAGGGUUAAGGUAAGGGUUAAGGUUUGGGUUAAGGUAAGGGUUAAGGUAAUGGUUAAGGUUUGGGUUAAGGUAAGGGUUAAGGUAAGGGUUAAGGUAAGGGUUAAGAUAAGGGUUAAGAUAAGGGUUAAGGUUUAAACAAUCAUCUUC